rnacentral:tRNA from 1 species
AGCAGCAUGGCGCAGUGGUAGCGCGCGGGGCCCAUAGAGGUGACCCCGAGGUCACUUGAUCGAAACAAGUUGCUGCUA